CUGGUCGCCGAGGUCCCGUCACCUCCGCAGGGGCUUGCGUUGGGUCGGGGUCCUGAAGGAGGGGUGUUGCUGAGACUGUUCCCCACUGCAGGUCCUGGCGUUCCUCGUGGCUGCAGAGCAGAAGGGCACAUCCCCAGGAGGUCAGAGGAGAGAGGAUGCCUGCAAGCGUGCCUCAUGCCGUGCCAAGCGUGAACUGGCUGCUCUCGUUUAACUGCCCUGACGCAAGGAGCUCUUUCCCCAGGUACUGUAAGGACCCAUCCCAAACAUCCUCUGGUUUUCAGCUGGUGCCUGCACACUGGGAUUCUAUCAGGAUAACACAAACCCAGCACGAGGUACAGUGUGGUCAUGCUGCUCUUUAGCACCAGGAGGCAGGAAAAUUUGGGAUCUGUUUCCAGCCAUCCCGCUGGGACCACUCCAUGUGCACAGGGGAACCGGACCUACAGCUCCUCUGGACUUUCAGCUUAGGAUCGCACUUGUGUAGAAACGCUUUGUAAGUCCCAUAUAUUGUCAGUAUAACCAAUUAAAGUUUAAUAAGGUGCUUGGUGGUAGUGCUGCUAAAAGAGUAGCUGUGAAACCAUUUGAUUUCUGAUCAUCCCCUGGAGGACACAUCGCAAGAAAUUAAUAGUUACCAAGAAGCUGCCUCCUCUGGCGUGUGCUGAAAAACGUGAAGGAGUCCUGUUUAUCUGCAUCACCUGGAUUUGAAGAUCAAGGAUUUUACUCAGCCCUGAAAGAUGCAGCUGUCUCCAGAAGGCUUGCUCUCGCUGCUGUAUUUGUGUGGGGGCAGGAUGAUCGCUUGCUCCCUGUGGCUGUGUGUGAAGUAACGGGGCCUGUGGUCGCCUUUAGUUCUCUCCACUUUCAUUGCCUGUACCUCGGUCACAACCUGAAGAAGUAAAGCAGCUCCUGCCGAUCUCCCCACCAGAACUGUGCUACUGCAGAGCCACCAUCCAAGCAGUGAGGGACAUUUUCCUCCCUCUCCCCAAGACAAAGAGGUUCCAGGGACACAUUUGUGCCUCUUCCUGUCGUUUGUCCCAGCUCUUUACCUGUAGAAAAUUCACAGCUCGUCCUAAAUUCACUGGAUUCAGCAGGUACAAAUAUAUUCCGGAGUGUAAAAUCCUUGCAGGAGCAUCCAGCGCUGUAAUAUAGGUUUAAUUCCUGAGCCAUUAGGAAUAAUUCGCUUAACAGCUGAUGCCUGAGCUGUGAAAGGAGCCACCAAAUCCAAUUCUCUUCCUCUUGAAGCAUUUUUUAGGCAUCUGAGGCUUUUGAAAUUAGCAGGGUUUCUCUUGAAUUGGCAUUAGAAAUAGUGUGCUGCUUGAAAUAAGGUGUUUAAAAUAACCGUGAGCUCUUACACAGUGCUCUCCUGUCACCGAGAUCUGUCCCACGCUGGUGGCAGUGCCGAGGACGAAGGGGGACGACUCCGGCCGGGCGACAGCAGGGUCCUCCCUAGAUCUGCUGCGAUUUGUGCUGACAGUGGUCAGGGAAUCAGCUUUUGUGAGCCGUGAGCUGUUACAUCCUGCACUUUAGUGGUAGGGGAAAGAGCUCUUGAUAAAUCUAAGUCGAUCCCUUCUCCCAAAAUACCUUGCAUAAUGGCAUUUAAGUGUGUGUUAAGCGAGAGUUUUUUACACUGUCUUAAAUCCAGACUCCCAAACUUGCCUUUAAAAAAAAAAAAAAAGAAAAAAAAAGAAGUAACUUUUUAAUGUUUUUAUCUGUUUCUUUUUGUUUCUUUGUGAUAUAUAAAGAAGGCCUGGAAAGUUAACUCUGCUUCUGUAUCAACUGUUCUGUUUGCAUCUGCACACCAGAAAUACCCGAUUUUAUCUUCCCCGGUUUUGCUGAAGGACCCAGAAAGAACGGGAGAACUGCUGGGAAUCGGGCAAAGAACCAAGAGGGCAAAGUGAGUGUCUGCUCUGCACGAACACCUCACUCGUGAGGGAUAAAUGAAUCUUAAGCUGCCGCUGUGGGUGGUGAGAGACCCGUCCCUGGGUGCUGAAGGGCAGCAGGCCGCUUUGGUAUCCCUGCCAGCGCCAGCCAAGGCACCACUAACAAAGAGCUGCGGCUGUGACAGGAAAAAGGUUUGGGUUUUUUUUUUUUCUCAUUUUCGGUGGCCCAAGAAAAUAAAUUAACAGAUGGUGUUCA
ensembl:lncRNA